GGGCCCGUAGCUCAGCAUGGAAGAGCGGCGGUGGGACGACUUUCGACCAUCCCGCCGAGCCUUCGGAGCCGUAGGUCGCGGGUUCAAAUCCCGCCGGGCCCG
rnacentral:tRNA from 1 species